CCUCGACUUAUUAGCUGCGUGAGCUGUGAUCGAUUGAUCAGUAUCUGGAAGAAGUGAAGGAGUGAGAAUCUUGGAGAGCCAAGGUGUGAAGAAUCUUGGAGAGCUAAGGUGUGAGAAUCUUGGAGAGCUAAGCAGGCAUGAUUCAUACAUCCAGCUAGUAUGGCCUCAAAAGCUAUAAAAAGGAGGCCUUGCAGUGCUGACACUGAUAAAACAAGUGAAAAACAUAUGGAGACAACAAUACCAGAUUCCAUAACAGAGCCUCUUCUAGUAGAUACUCCUCAUAAAGAUAAAUCCAAGAGAUACAAAGCUACUACACGGUCAGAAUUCUGGGAUGGGAAAAGGCAGGAGUGCCUUCGUUGGGCACAUCUUCUAUCAACUUUUUUUGCUCAGUCUGCAAGAAAGAUACCAGUUCAUCAUGGAACUUUAAUCCGAGAAAUCAUGAAACCGUAAUCCAAGAAAAGCUAGAUGUUGUAGCCUUAUCCAAGGUAUAUGAAAGAAUGUACUCCUACUUGAAAGAUUCAUCUUUGGCCAAGUGUUUAUGAGUUAUAACUUGGGUGCUGCUGAUGAAUUCUAUUGCUGAGAACAUCUACUUUUCUCACAUUUAUCUCUUAGUGCUUUGGACAUCAUGGAACAAUGUAGGUUUUUUUUCUCGAACAAGUAGGAGAGAUACGUAUCUUUAUAUUAAAGAAAAAAGGAUAGUCCCAAAACACAAACUCUACCGAAAGUAUAGCACCAACCCACUCACACACCCCUGGGUACUAGAUUAACAUACAUGCCAGUUUUGAGAUUACAACAACCACUCUGGCUAGGAUCUAACCCAGCCACAAGGUACUCAACCGUUUCGCUCCAACUAAACACCAUAGCCGAGCCUCAUCAGCUAUGUCAAAGAGAACGUCUUGAACUCGUGGUGAGGCUCCAUUGAAACACAAGCGUUACGAUGUUUCCAUAUCCAUCAAGCUCCAAGGAUCACAAGAGAGUUGAAUCUUUUUCUUCACUGUUUAUCGAUCCUUAGAUGAGCUUGAUGCCACCAUCCCUCAAACACCAUAUGAUGGGGUUCAGGUGCGAAUUUCUGCAGCCCAACACGCCCUAACAGCUGAAACCACACCUCUAGAGCAAAGACACAAUUGGUGAGGAGAUGUUGCACUGUCUCGUCAUCUUGAUCACACAAGGGACAUAACGUAGGAUACGGUUAGCCUCGCCUCGCCAACUGAUCAGGUGUCCUACAACGAUUAUGAAUCUCCAGCCAAAUGAAAAAUUUACACAAUAGAGGCGCCCAGAUUCUCCAUACAUGUUUCCAUGGCUUGAAAUCAAUAGCACCAGUGAAUAAGGCUCUGUAGGCUGAUUUGGAAGAAAAAUCUCUUGAUCAUGUCCAUGUCCACAUGUGUAAAUCUUGCAUUUCUGGUUGUAGUGUGAUCCCUUCAAUGGCGUCCCACAGCUGCAAGUACUCUAUCAAAACAUCAGCAGAUAGGCAUCCCCUUAAUCAUGUUUCUAGAUGUUGAUAACAUGUUUAGUUUCUAAUUUUGUCCAGUAAAGAUUAUUGCUUAAUCAACUAUAACUAAAUAACUUGUUAAAGCAAUUCACUUGCUGAGAUUUUCGAAUCUCACAUUUGCUAUCUUUCCAAGUACAACUUGAGAUGAUAGCGAGCA